CAGCCGCCACGGGAAUACAGAGGGUGCGAGCGUUAAUCGGAUUUACUGGGCGUAAAGCGUGUGUAGGUUGUUGUUCAAGUCAGUUGUGAAAUCCCUGGGCUCAACCUGGGAACUGCUUCUGAGACUGAACGACUAGAGUACGGUAGAGGGUGGUGGAAUUUCCGGUGUAGCGGUGAAAUGCGUAGAUAUCGGAAGGAACAUCAAUGGCGAAGGCAGCCACCUGGGCCUGUACUGACACUGAGACACGAAAGCGUGGGGAUCAAACAGGAUUAGAUACCCCUGUAGUCCCUGUCUCUUAUAC
rnacentral:rRNA from 1 species